UACGGAGGGUCCAAGCGUUAUCCGGAAUCAUUGGGUUCAAAGGGUCCGUAGGCGGUUUAAUAAGUCAGUGGUGAAAGCCUAUCGCUUAACGAUAGAACGGCCAUUGAUACUGUUAGACUUGAAUUAGUGGGAAGUAACUAGAAUAUGUAGUGUAGCGGUGAAAUGCUUAGAUAUUACAUGGAAUACCAAUUGCGAAGGCAGGUUACUAUCACUAUAUUGACGCUGAUGGACGAAAGCGUGGGGAGCGAACAGG
rnacentral:rRNA from 1 species